AGAUUGAACGCUGGCGGCGUGCUUAACACAUGCAAGUCGUGCGGUAACAGGCGUAGCAAUACGUGCUGACGAGCGGCGAACGGGUGCGUAAUACAUGGGAAUCUGCCUUUUAGUGGGGAAUAACCCGGCGAAAGCCGGGCUAAUGCCGCAUAAGAUCUUCGGAUGAAAGCGGGGGAUCGUAAGACCUCGCGCUGAUAGAUGAGCCCAUGCCGGAUUAGCUAGUUGGUGAGGUAACGGCUCACCAAGGCGACGAUCCGUAGCUGGUCUGAGAGGACGGCCAGCCACACUGGGACUGAGACACGGCCCAGACUCCUACGGGAGGCAGCAGUGGGGAAUAUGGACAAUGGGGAAACCCUGAUCCAGCGACGCCGCGUGUGUGAAGAAGCCUGCGGUUGUAAAAGCACGUUUCGGUGGAAACGAAAUAGUGCCGGACUAAGUACCCCGGUAGCGUGACGUUACUCAAUGAAGAAGCAACCGGCUAACUCUGUGCCAGCA
rnacentral:rRNA from 1 species